rnacentral:tRNA from 1 species
AUUUAGGUAGCUUAAAUUAAAGCACGUCUCUGAAGAAGAUUAGAUGGAUAUUCCCCUAAAUA